rnacentral:lncRNA from 1 species
CUCUUUUGCUCAUAUACAUCAUUAACAAGUUCUUGGAUUCGAAGCAAUAACCAUAAACUUAACAAGGUUUAUUUUUAGGGUUAUACUUUCUCAUUUACAGACUAGAUUCCAAAGCAAACUAACAUGCAUAAUGGAAAACAAACCUAACCUUGUCGAACACCGAACCUUCCUAGGAUUUUGGCCUGUUGGGGAAGAAAUAUGUGAGUUUGUAAAUGGUGCUAGACAUGGGAACUAAAGGAAAACAAAUACAAUUGUUAAUUUAUUUCUUCUUCUUAUGGCUUAUUUGACUUAGGAUGUGAGACAAGCUUCCAUGAUGUAUACGAGUCUGAAACCAGAAAAACAAAGAACGAUACAAGCUGGUCAAAAGAAUAACAAAUGCAACAAAUUUUCCCGGUGGGUUGGUUUGCAUGGUUUGCAGUUGCACUGAGCUUGGAACAUAAGAAGAGCACACAUGUGGGCGGCAGAACUGGUCGGUCAUAAAUCCAAAAUUUUCAAGAUACUCAUGAGCUUUUCCCAUAUUCACAGAUAUGAAGUAUCCAUCUUGUCCAAUUAUGUUGGUUUUUUGGUUGCGCACUAUCCCUUCUUUAUAACUCUCUAUAUCAACAACCACAAAAAUUUUCUUCUCUUCGUCAAUGAAGAAACUCCCAGCUUGAUUACCAUCCAUACAACCGUACGUGAUCCUCAAGAACUUGCUCCACGAAAUCUCACAUGGAUCAAUCUUAUUUGUGCCCAAAUGUUUAAUGCGUAAUCAGAAAUCAGCCAGCUUUGAUGUAAUACCGCGAGGUGCUUUUCUCUGACACAAGAUAUAGAAAUUUUUUUAUAUAAACCAUGAGAUUUAAACGGAAGAGGCAGCGGCUUUCAAAUCUCUAUGUUAUAAAAUCAAAAGAGAGUAUAUACUCAAUAUCGUUCCUCCUAUCCUUAUUUUCUCUUCAGCCAAAAAAUAAGUAUGUCUCUUCAAAGACACACC